UACGGAGGGUGCAAGCAUUAAUCGGAUUUAUUGGGCGUAAAGGGCGCGUAGGCGGAAGGAGAAGUCAGAUGUGAAAUCCCCGGGGCUCAACCUCGGAACGGCAUUUGAAACUCUCCAUCUAGAGGAUGGACGGAGAAAACGGAAUUCACAUGUAGCGGUGAAAUGCGUAGAGAUGUGGAAGAACACCUGUGGCGAAAGCGGUUUUCUAGUUUAAACCUGACGCUGAGGCGCGAAAGCAAGGGGAGCAAAACAGG
rnacentral:rRNA from 1 species